rfam:Canis lupus familiaris chromosome X, whole genome shotgun sequence.
GGGGGGAAGGCCGAUCCCCGGCCGGUGUCCCCGGCGCCCCGUGCUCCGGGACCUGCAGUGUUGGAUUCGCGCUCCCGGCCGCACAGCCCCCU